UAGGGAAUCUUCCACAAUGGGCGCAAGCCUGAUGAAGCAACGCCGCGUGUGUGAUGAAGGGUUUCGGCUCGUAAAACACUGUUGUAAGAGAAGAAUGACAUUGAGAGUAACUGUUCAAUGUGUGACGGUAUCUUACCAGAAAGGAACGGCUAAAUACGUACCAG
rnacentral:rRNA from 1 species